UACGUAGGGUGCGAGCGUUGUCCGGAUUUAUUGGGCGUAAAGAGCUCGUAGGCGGUUUGUCGCGUCGGCCGUGAAAUCUCCACGCUUAACGUGGAGCGUGCGGUCGAUACGGGCAGACUUGAGUUCGGUAGGGGAGACUGGAAUUCCUGGUGUAGCGGUGAAAUGCGCAGAUAUCAGGAGGAACACCGGUGGCGAAGGCGGGUCUCUGGGCCGAUACUGACGCUGAGGAGCGAAAGCGUGGGGAGCGAACAGGA
rnacentral:rRNA from 1 species